rnacentral:rRNA from 1 species
AAUCAACGCUGGCGGCGUGCCUAACACAUGCAAGUCGAACGAGAAAGUGGAGCAAUCCAUGAGUAAAGUGGCGCACGGGUGAGUAACACGUGACUAACCUACCUUUUAGUGGGGGAUAACCUAAGGAAACCUGGGCUAAUACCGCAUAAUACUUACGAGUCAAAGCAGCAAUGCGCUGAAAGAGGGGGUCGCGGUCGAUUAGCUAGCUGGUGGGGUAAGAGCCUACCAGGGCGAUGAUCGGUAGCUGGUCUGAGAGGACGAGCAGCCACACUGGGAU